rnacentral:lncRNA from 1 species
CCUGUGAGGUAGGUUGUAUUAUUCCCAUUUUAUCAAGGAAGUGCCUGAGGUCAGACAGUCUCAGCUGUUUUCCCAUUCACACAGAGAACAACACUGGUCUUCUGAUCUUUUUAUUUAUUUAUUUUUGAGACAGAAUCUUCCUCUGUUGCCCAGGCUGGAGUGCAGUGGCACAGUCAUGGCUCACUGCAGCCUCGACCUCCUGGGCUCAAGUGAUCCUCCCACCUAAGUCUCCCAAGUAGCUGGGACUAUAGGUGUGCACUGCCACGCCCAGCUGACUUUUUUAUUUUUUGUAGAGAUGGGGGUCUCACUAUGUUGCCCAAGCUAGUCUCAGCUCUUGGGCUCAAGUGAUCCUCCUGCCUCAGCCUCCCAAAGUGCUGGGAUGACAGGGUGAGCCACCGUGCAUGGCCGAGUCUUCAGAUCCUGACAUCGUGCUCUUCCUUUAUGGCCCUCCCUUUAAGCACCAGAGCACGAUCCAGUUUAUCCAUAGGUGGAUGAGAUUGCCCAGCUCACCAUCCCGAGAAGCAACCAUCAGCACCAGGUAAGCAUUUUCCAACUUAGAAGGUUUCAUUGCGUGGGUCUCUUGCACAUCAUCUCUCAUCAUUUCAUCAUUGUUUUCCAAAAGGUUAUCCACCUCUGGAAUUUAUCCUUUUAAAAAUAAUCAUAAAGAGAAUAAAGGGAGAAAAAAGUUGCCCAUGGUACUCAUUAUGUGAGCCCAAGGGACGAAACAGCAUUCUCUCUCCCCAUUAAUAACCUAAACUUUCAAACAUGUAGCCGUGGUUAAGGAUUCCUUCUGGACUAUUUUAAGGAGCAAAUUUAUUAGUUCUAUAGCAUCUCGUAAUCCUGAGGUAUUUAGGAAAACUACAUUCUUUGGAUUCUGAAACCCUGGCUGUUUCCCCAAGCUACUUCAAACAAUGCAGCUUUUGCUGACGGGGCAUUCCAUGGGCCAGCAGUGUUGUUGAAUUGUAAGUAAAUAAUCUUGAAACAAAUCCAUGGUUGACACACUGUCAUAUUAUGCUUACUGCUCCAGAGGAGGGAUUUAUUCUGAAGAUAUUGAAAAAUUCCAUUGCUGUUUGGGGGAAGCGACAAUUGGGAUCACCCAUAAAUUAGAGUAAUUGCCCUCUGUUCUGUACCAUAGAUAUGAUCCAAAACAUUGUGCAUGUACUGUAUCAUAUGUGAAAUAGAACAGUGCUGGAUAAAAAUGUACAAUAUUACUAAAUAAAAACAGAUACCAUGGAUAUGACAGAAGUUUAAAUCGCCAAGUUUGGCUACAGCUAGCUUUGUUCUUCUUGAGCAUGGGAGCUCAAAACUAGAGGAGAAAAAUGAACCAGUCCAACCACAUCCUCCUUUUUAGCAUAG